CCUACGGGGGGCAGCAGUGAGGAAUAUUGGUCAAUGGGCGGGAGCCUGAACCAGCCAAGUCGCGUGAGGGAAGACGGUCCUAUGGAUUGUAAACCUCUUUAGGCGGGGAGCAAUGCCGGGCACGCGUGCCCGGAGGGAGAGUACCCGCAGAAUAAGCAUCGGCUAACUCCGUGCCAGCAGCCGCGGUAAUACGGAGGAUGCGAGCGUUAUCCGGAUUUAUUGGGUUUAAAGGGUGCGUAGGCGGAGCGUUAAGUCAGUGGUCAAAUUGAGGGGCUCAACCCCUUCCCGCCAUUGAAACUGGCGCUCUUGAGUGGAAGAGAAGUAUGCGGAAUGCGUGGUGUAGCGGUGAAAUGCAUAGAUAUCACGAAGAACUCCGAUUGCGAAGGCAGCUUACUAAACUGCCACUGACAUUGAUGCUCGAAAGUGUGGGUAUCAAACAGGAUUAGAUACCCUGGUAGUC
rnacentral:rRNA from 1 species